GGCUCAGGAUGAACGCUAGCGGCAGGCUUAAUACAUGCAAGUCGUGGGGCAGCAUGAGUAGCAAUACUUGAUGGCGACCGGCAAACGGGUGAGGAACACGUACACAACCCUCCUUCAAGCGGGGAAUAGCCCAGAGAAAUUUGGAUUAAUACCCCAUAAUAUAUUUGAUAAGGCAUCUUAUUAAUAUUAAAGCUUCGGCACUUGAUGAUGGGUGUGCGGCUGAUUAGAUAGUUGGCGGGGUAACGGCCCACCAAGUCUACGAUCAGUAGCUGAUGUGAGAGCAUGAUCAGCCACACGGGCACUGAGACACGGGCCCGACUCCUACGGGAGGCAGCAGUAAGGAAUAUUGGACAAUGGACGAAAGUCUGAUCCAGCCAUGCCGCGUGAAGGAUUAAGGUCCUCUGGAUUGUAAACUUCUUUUAUAUGGGACGAAAAAAGGGCAUUCUUGUUCACUUGACGGUACCAUAUGAAUAAGCACCGGCUAACUCCGUG
rnacentral:rRNA from 1 species